UCCUGGAUGGCCAGAGGGAAACACUG
rnacentral:piRNA from 1 species